rfam:Metarhizium robertsii ARSEF 23 MAA_Scf_4, whole genome shotgun sequence.
GUCCAUUGUGUGAUGAAAUAUUUGCGGAUGUAAACAUUUGUCAUAUCGGAAAGCGCAAAAAACAAUGUCGAGAUUUCCGUUGCCUUCCUUCUGAUCUUGGGA